rnacentral:lncRNA from 10 species
UGAAGGCAGCUGGCCCUCAGCUGGGGCUAUGGGGGUGUGCAUAUUGCAGACUCCAGGACUGUGUGCCUGUGCAGGGAGGCAAGACUCUAUCUACAGAUGCCAUCAGGCAAGACACAGCCCAGAACUUCAUGGUGCAAGAGCAUGGACACAGAGGAACCAGAGCAUCGUGGUGGGAGGGAUGUGAUAUUUAAACCAAACUUAAAAGACAGAAGAGGACAGCCAGGCAAAAGACAUUGGACACAUAUUCCAGGCAGAGAGAACACCCUUCAGAAAGGCCCCGAGGAGCAAGAGAAGUAGAAUAUUUAAGGAUCUGAAAGCAGCUCAAGUGACCAGAGCAGCAAGCCAGAGGGAUGAGGCCUGGAGAUGGGCUGUACACACCACACCCGGCCUGAGGUCUCAGCGAGGGCCGUGCUUUUAUCUGCAAGCCACAGGGAGCCAACCUUCCAGGGCAAGUGACGGGCCAAUUCUCACUUUCAAAGAUGCAGGUGAAAAUGGACAGCGGAGACACAGAGGCGAGUUAGGAGCCCAAGCAGGGUUUAGGGGAGAGAAGGUGGUGGCAGAGACUCCUCUGUCUGUGCACCUCCCAUCACAGUGUUUUACACGGCACACACAGACAUGGAUUUAUUGCAAAUUGGGCAAAUGAAGUUAUUCUACUGGUUGCUUUUCUACAUGACCAACUCAGGCUUAGCUGCCCAGCUUUUUCUUUUUCCUUUGAGAAGGUAAUUCCGUGGCUUUUUUUUUCCUUUCUUAACCUGAAAGUGUCCCGGUGUUUGAUUUCAUGGAGCAAAAUAAAAACCCUGGAGGAAUACACAUGCCACAGAAACGCCUUGAGACAAAAAAACGUUUGGCUAAUAGUUUUGGUAUUUUCUAUGCCUUCCCCGGUAUGCAGGAAAGUCACAGCAGUGUGAUACAAAGGAGUGUAUGGUGAUAAAAAAGCGCAGGCCCAGGGACCUCUGGAAACUGGGCUGGCGGUAGAGCUAUGGGGCAAUAGCGUUCUCAGUAGUAGGCUGCCUUGUCAUGGGAGGGCUGGAGUGAGGGCCACUGUGCGGAGGGAAAGCGACCGUGCUCUGGGGUGGGGGUGGGAAUGGGGAAUAAAACAGAAAUAGAAUCUGCGGUGAGAGCACCACCAAGCCACCCAACCCCCACACUGGGGAGACAAAGGGCCCUCUGGGGAGGGAAGGUCCUGGCCCACCUCCUUGGAGGGCGCCUCUGGGCGGUCCUGGCCUGCCCAGGGGCAAGGAGAUGGGCCUCACAGCGAUAUUGGCUCU